GAUGAACGCUGACAGAAUGCUUAACACAUGCAAGUCAACUUGAACUUCGGUUUGGGUGGCGGACGGGUGAGUAACGCGUAAAGAACUUGCCUCACAGCUAGGGACAACAUUUGGAAACGAAUGCUAAUACCUGAUAUUAUGAUUAUAUGGCAUCGUAUAAUUAUGAAAGCUAUAUGCGCUGUGAGAGAGCUUUGCGUCCCAUUAGCUAGUUGGAGAGGUAACAGCUCACCAAGGCGAUGAUGGGUAGCCGGCCUGAGAGGGUGAUCGGCCACAAGGGGACUGAGACACGGCCCUUACUCCUACGGGAGGCAGCAGUGGGGAAUAUUGGACAAUGGACCGAGAGUCUGAUCCAGCAAUUCUGUGUGAACGAUGAAGUUUUUCGGAAUGUAAAGUGCUUUCAGUUGGGAAGAAAAAAAUGACGGUACCAACAGAAGAAGUGACGGCUAAAUACGUG
rnacentral:rRNA from 1 species